UGCAGUCGAACGAGAACCUCGGGCUUGCUCGAGGGAGUAAAGUGGCGCACGGGUGAGUAACGCGUGGGUAACCUGCCCUUGGAUCGGGGAUAACUUCGCGAAAGCGUAGCUAAUACCGGAUAAUGUCCUGUUGACUUCGGUCUUCAGGAUGAAAGAUGACCUCUUCAUGAAAGUUGUCGUUCAGGGAGGGGCCCGCGUACCAUUAGCUUGUUGGUGGGGUAAUGGCCCACCAAGGCAACGAUGGUUAGCUGGUCUGAGAGGAUGAUCAGCCACACUGGAACUGAAACACGGUCCAGACUCCUACGGGAGGCAGCAGUGAGGAAUUUUGCGCAAUGGGGGAAACCCUGACGCAGCAACGCCGCGUGAGUGAAGAAGGCUUUCGGGUCGUAAAGCUCUGUCAAGUGGGAAAAAAAGCUCUCGAUUAAUAGUCGGGAGACCUGAUGGUACCACUGGAGGAAGCACCGGCUAACUCCGUGCCAGCAGCCGCGGUAAUACG
rnacentral:rRNA from 1 species